rnacentral:rRNA from 1 species
UACGUAGGGUGCGAGCGUUAAUCGGAAUUACUGGGCGUAAAGCGUGCGCAGGCGGUUCGUUGUGUCGGCGGUGAAAGCCCCGGGCUUAACCUGGGAAUGGCCGUUGAAACUGGCGAACUGGAGUGUGGCAGAGGGGGGUGGAAUUCCGCGUGUAGCAGUGAAAUGCGUAGAGAUGUGGCGGAACACCGAUGGCGAAGGCAGCCCCCUGGGUCGGGAUUGACGCUCAGGCACGAAAGCGUGGGGAGCAAACAGG